rnacentral:snRNA from 1 species
AUACUUACCUGGCAGAGGAGACAGAAUGAUCACAAAGGUGGUUUUCUCAGGGCAAGGCUUUGCUGACUCCUGCGAUUUCCCCAAAUGUGAGAAACUUGGCUGCAUAAUUUGUGGUAGUGGGGGACUGCAUUCGUGCUUUCCCCUA